UACGGAGGGAGCUAGCGUUGUUCGGAAUUACUGGGCGUAAAGCGCACGUAGGCGGCUUUGUAAGUUAGAGGUGAAAGCCUGGAGCUUAACUCCAGAACUGCCUUUAAGACUGCAUCGCUUGAAUCCAGGAGAGGUGAGUGGAAUUCCGAGUGUAGAGGUGAAAUUCGUAGAUAUUCGGAAGAACACCAGUGGCGAAGGCGGCUCACUGGACUGGUAUUGACGCUGAGGUGCGAAAGCGUGGGGAGCAAACAGG
rnacentral:rRNA from 1 species